UGUGUGAAUUGGACUGCUAAACGACAAUCCAUUUUCGAAAUUCUGAAUGGACAUCAUUACUGAGGUUCAGAAUUAUGCACUUCACACUUCUGUAUGGCAGGGGAGCAAGCCCCCAUGCACAACCUGAUUGGGAGCAAGUCCUCACAUGCACUCCAAACUUAUAUAUACCAGCUGGAUAGUUGCUCCAACUUGAAGAAGGGAGAAAUCAGCAAAUAGGACAUGUCUGCAAGCACAUUUCACCAACAAUGAUUUUGUAUGGAGUCAAGCCAGACAUUUAGGAACCCAGCAGUUGGUGCUGUAAGACUUGCUUUCAAGCCAUCUGGGAUUACUACUGAUGAAAUCACCUUUUGGACCCAUCACUGACAGUUCUCUGUCUGGUGUCGUUCUAUUGUGGAGGUUUUCAGCUGUUCUUUUUUUUCACCUCCAACAGAGAUUGAAACCUCUGUAGAAAACUCAAAAUGUUAUACAGACAAAGCAAACUUGAAGAAUCAAGCUCAAACAUGUCCAUGAAAAGCAGGAACAUAGAACUAUUUUUCAUUAAAUGGUACAGUAAUUCUAAUUCAUAACUGAACAGCCAUUCUCAUUUUAUUUACCUUAUAUCCACCAGUGCAGAGGACAGAAUUUCACUUUUUUCAAAAUAAAGGCUU